GGGCCUUUAGCUCAUCUGGUAGAGCGCUACUAUGGCAUAGUAGAGGUAACCGGUUCAAGUCCGGUAAGGUCCA
rnacentral:tRNA from 1 species